rnacentral:rRNA from 1 species
CCUACGGGUGGCAGCAGUGGGGAAUAUUGGGCAAUGGGCGCAAGCCUGACCCAGCAACGCCGCGUGAGCGAUGAAGGUCUUCGGAUUGUAAAGCUCUGUCGCAGGGGACGAAGUAUGACGGUACCCUGUAAGAAAGCCCCGGCAAACUACGUGCCAGCAGCCGCGGUAAUACGGAGGAUGCGAGCGUUAUCCGGAUUUAUUGGGUUUAAAGGGUGCGCAGGCGGAAGAUCAAGUCAGCGGUAAAAUUGAGAGGCUCAACCUCUUCGAGCCGUUGAAACUGGUUUUCUUGAGUGAGCGAGAAGUAUGCGGAAUGCGUGGUGUAGCGGUGAAAUGCAUAGAUAUCACGCAGAACUCCGAUUGCGAAGGCAGCAUACCGGCGCUCAACUGACGCUCAUGCACGAAAGUGUGGGUAUCGAACAGGAUUAGAUACCCCUGUAGUC